GUUUUGACAUCAUUUGUCCUUAAUCCAGACUUUCAUUUACAUCACUUUGGCCUCGAAAUCUGCCCUUGCACAUCACUCCAGCAGCAGGAAAACAACUUGAAGCAAUUACCAAGAUAUAAGUAAGAGUCUGUGUAAGCUACUCUUUAGGUUUGCACACAGAACCUCUUUGAGUUUCAGACACAUGCAAGAUGGCCUCUUAAAGGUCAUUUGCAAGCAGACCCAGCUACAUACAAGGGGCUGAUGACUUCCUCAUCCUUGGUGACUUCUCCCCUACUAACAACCAUCUGCUACAGAGGGGACAGCAACUGCUCUGCCCUUUCACCUGUCACGGAUGGAAGUCCCAAGAGUGCUUUGAAAUGAAAGACUGGAAGCCCAACCACAAGAAGAGGGACCACCAAGGCUUCUGGACCACACCGACAGAUGGGCGGGACACUGCAUGGGAGCCACCAUGAUGUUGUCCUCUGGAUUAUAGGGUUCUCCCAUGGGAAAAGGCAUAAGACAGUCAUUGCUUGGUCUCCCUGGGGCACUUGUUCCAGGAACCCUCAGGGGUUCUGUUGCCCUUCCUUGUCCAAGAUGGACCCCAGGACACAAGGAGAAGCCUGAGGACCUACACUGGUCCCUUGUCCUUGGGCGUCUGCACCGGAAGCCCCUGAAGAUACUGAGAUCUACAGUUGCUCAACUCCUUUAUAAGGAAUAAGUCUGUACAUGUUUCACAUAGAUGCAAUAUUUUUCCACUUUUUUUUUCAACCAUGGAUGGUUGAAUCUGAGGAUGUGGGAUGUGAGGAUACAGAGGGCUGACUAUCACUGUGGUAACCUGGACAAUGACGUGGGUGCAAUCUAUUGAUCCUAAUCAAAUUCCCAAGGUCUUCCUUAAACUCCUUUGUGGGUAUUUCUAUGCCAUUUUAUCAUCUGUGUAGGCCCAGGUAUCCACCACCAAGAGGCCAAACUUCUGUCACCACAAGGGUCUCUUGAGUCACUCUUAUAAUCACACUUGUCUUUUGCUACUACCAACCUUCAGCUCUUUAACCUCUGGCAAGCACUAAUCUGUCCCCCAUUUCAAGCAUUGUGUCAUUUCACAGUGUUUUAUAAAUAUAGCCACAUGGUGUAUCCCCUUUUGGGACUGGUGUGGUUUUCACUUAGCAGAAUCCCUCAACAUUCACUCAAAUUGUGUGUCACAAUAGUUUGUUUUUCUUCCUUGCCGAGUAGUAUUCACAGGGUGGCUAUAUGAGUUUGUUUAGCUAGUUACCUGCUGAAG